GCCCGUGUGGUUCAGUGGAUAGAGCGCCGGCCUGCAGACCCAAGGGUCCCGGUUCGAUUCCGGCCAAGGGCA
rnacentral:tRNA from 1 species